CGUCUCCUCCUUCCCAACUCCCAAGCCCCCCCCCCCCACCCCCCUGGUUCCCCCUCCAACGCCGCCUCCCUCGUCUCCGGCGAUGGCGUUGGCCCCCACCCCGACGGAUCAGCCCAAUCCCAAGGCCCCCACGCCUCCACCUCCUCCGCCCCCGCCGUCGUCUCAAGCCCAAACCAUGGAGGAGAAGCCGAGCCUCUCGUCAGCGUUGUUCGCCGGCACCCGCUUCGACCGCAAGCGCUUCACGGGGGACUUCGCGCGGUUCCGGACGGGCGCGCGGCCCGCUGCCCCCGCCCCCGCGGCCCCCGACGCGGCGGCGCCGGGACCGGAGAAGAAGCGGAAGCGCAAGAGCAAGAGCAAGGCCAACGCGAAGAAGAUCAAGAGGAAGAAAAAGCGCGCCGACGGGGCCGCCUCCGCGCCCGAUGUUGUGGAGGGGUUCAGCAUGUUCAAGGGGGCGGAGGCGAAGGAGGCGGUUGAGGAGCCUGUGGAGGUGGUGGUUAGGGAGGGCGAGGACGAGGCCGUCGUGAGGCGUCGGAAGGAGGCAGCAGCGCAACAGCCUCUACAUCUACAACAUCCGCUAUAAAUGAAUUUCAUUUGGAGGAUACUCUAGCAGAUUAAAUCCCGCAAGCAACCUCGGCUCAGCGAAACCUGCAAGAAACAAACACCGGGCGGGCGGCAGGCAGGCGAUCUUGGGAAGCGCGAUGGCGGCCAAGGGGACGACCGAGAUGGAGGUGGGCGGUGACGGCGUCGCCGUCAUCACCAUCUGCAACCCGCCAGUCAACUCCCUCUCCAUCGAUGUACUGCUAAGCUUAAAGGAAAGCUAUGAAGAAGCUCUUCAGAGGAAGGAUGUCAAAGCUAUUGUUGUUACAGGAACGCAGCGACUCCCACGUCUUGUUGGACUGACAAAGUCACUUGAAAUGGUGUUGCUAUCCAAGCCAAUUAAGGGCGAAGAGGCACACCAACUGGGUCUUGUUGAUGCCUUGGUUUCUCCUAAUGAUUUGGUGAAUACUGCUCGUCGUUUGGCUUUAGAUAUCUGUGAGCUCAGAAAGCCAUGGAUCAAAAGCCUUUACAAGACCCACAAACUAGAACCCCUUGGUGGAGAUUCUCAAGUUUGCAAGGGCUCAAGCUCGAAAGCAGGCUGCAAAUCUUGAACACCCACUUAUUUGUAGCGAUGUCAUUGAAGAAGGUAUAGUUUCAGGACCUCGAGCUGGGCUCUGGAAGGAAGCAAACGCAUUCCAAGGCCUUCUUUUCUCAGAUACAUGUAAAAGCUUACUUCAGGUAUUCUUCUCUCAGCUUGCAACAUCAAAGGUUCCUGGUGCUACAGACUUGGGUUUGAUGCCUAGGAAAAUAAUGAAAGUCGCCAUUCUAGGUGGUGUGCUUAUGGGUUCUGGAAUUGCUACCGCAAUGAUACUGAGUAACUAUCCUGUGCUGCUGAAAGAAGUAAAUGAGCAAUUUCUGAAUGCUGGAAUUGACAGGAUCAAAGCCAAUUUGCAGAGUCGUGUGAGGAAAGAAAAAAUGACAGAGGAGAGAUACGAGAAGGCAUUGUCUCUUCUCAGUGGUGCCCUUGGUUAUGAAAAGUUCAAAGAAGUGGACUUAGUUAUCGAGGCGGUUAUUGAGAAUGUGAAGUUGAAGCAGCAAACAUUUGCGGACUUGGAGAAGUACUGCCCUUCCCAUUGCAUCCUUGCUACCAACACAUCUACAAUUGAUCUUAAUCUAAUUGGAGAGAAAACAAAGUCCCAAGACCGUAUUGUUGGUGCACACUUCUUUUGUCCUGCGCAUGUGAUGCCACUCCUGGAAAUAGUUCGUACCCAGCACACUUCAGCACAGGUUGUUGUUGACUUGCUGGAUGUCGGGAAGAGGAUCAAGAAGACACCAAUAGUGGUUGGGAAUUGCACUGGUUUCGCAGUCAACAGGAUGUUCUUUCCUUACACCCAGUCAGCACUCCUGCUUGUUGAUUAUGUUAUGAAUGUUUACAAGAUUGAUCGUGCAUGUACCAAAUUUGGAAUGCCCAUGGGUCCAUUCAGGCUUGCUGAUCUUGUUGGUUUUGGUGUUGCUGUGGCUACUGGUAUGCAGUACCUUGAAAAUUUUCUGGACAGAGUCUACAAGUCCAUGCUAAUCCCUAUUAUGAUGGAGGACAAAAGAGCAGGCGAAGGCAGUCGGAAGGUAUUUUACAAGUACGAGGAUAAGAGGAAGGCAACUCCUGAUCCUGAAAUUAUGACGUAUAUUCAGAAAUCUAGGAGCAUGGCAGGAGUCACUCCAGACGCUGAGUUGAUGAAGCUAAGUGACAAGGACAUAGUUGAGAUGGUGUUCUUCCCGGUCAUAAACGAAGCGUGUCGUGUCCUUGAUGAGGGCAUUGCAGUAAAGGCGUCGGAUCUUGACAUCGCCUCAAUCUUUGGCAUGGGAUUCCCACCUUACAGGGGAGGGGUCAUGUUGUGGGGAGAUUCCAUCGGUGCAAAAUACAUCCACGAAAAGUUGCAGCUGUGGGCGAAGCGGUACGACAGCUUCUUCGAGCCUUGCUCCUACCUCGCCGAAAGAGCGGCGAAAGGGAUUCCUCUGAGUGCACCGGCAGCAAGUCAGGUCAAGGCACGACUAUAGAUGGUGGUAGGUCCGGUGUUUCUGUCAGCUGAAGGAAUUAUGUCACCGAGUAAUAAUGCACGAUGAAGGUGGUGAUUAGUGGAAGGAGCUGAAUAAUAAUAACAACACGUGAGCUGUAUAUUAGGACGCACAGGAAAACGUAAUCAAUUGUGGUUGGACCCUUGAAUGAGGUUUAUGUAAUAUGUGCAAUUGAUUUUUACUAUUUUUUUGUUACACCCCGAAUCCGUCCUGAAACAGUGUGAAUGUCUAAACCUGAAUUUCUGGAA